GAUAACUGGCUUGUGGUAGCCAAGCGUUUUUAGCGAUGUUGCUUUUUAAUUCGCCAAGCGUUGGAUUGUUCACCCACCAACAGGGAACGUGAGCUGGGUUUAGACCGUCGUGAGACAGGUU
rfam:Lottia gigantea unplaced genomic scaffold LOTGIsca_2, whole genome shotgun sequence.